AGAGCCUCCCCAGCCCCCAGUGAGCAAGUGCAGCAGGGGCUCCGCCCUCCAGCCGAGCCCUCCUGAAGCUCCUGUGGGCUCCCUGGGCUUGGGGGUGUCCCUCUGCUCCAGGAAAACUUGUGAGGAAGGACCAUGAGUAGCUGCCCUUUCUCUGGCCCUGGGCCACGUGGGUCAUAAUGCCCCUCUGUUAGCAGAAAGUUUUCUCAUGAGGUUUUGGUUUAACAGCACGGCUGGUAUUUUUCCUGCACCGAGUCCGGCAGAGUUAGCAAACCUCCACGCUGACUCUACAAGCACCCUAGCUAGUAGUUGACUUGGAUCUCAGAGCCUCUUCAAUGGUGAAAAUUUACUUGGCUAUGAAAACUCAGAGGAGUAGAGAACAAGAAUAAUGGAGGUGAUGGGAGAAGGAUCCCAACAUCAAGAGUGUGGAAGCCACUUGCCUCAUUUGGCAGCAUUGAAAUGGGGCUGGGCUAUGAGGACCCAUCAAAGUCCCUGAAGAUGAGCCUGUGUCCUCCCAGGGCCCUUGCACAGGUCGCAGCUCGCCUACUCAACUGCAGAGAUCCCAGGCCCUGUCCUGAGAUACAGACCCUGAUAGGAUUUGGUUCUGCAUCGCCACCUGAAUCUCACCUCUAAUUGUCAUCCCCAGUGUUGGAGGUGGGGCCUGGUGGGAGGUGAUUGGAUCCUGGGGGCGGAUAUCCCCUCAUGAUAGUACGUGGGCUAUCCUGAGACCUAGUUUAAAAGCAUGUAGCACCUUCCCCACCCUCUAUGCCUCCUGCUCCCCCUGCCAUGUAAGACAUGCCUACUUCCCCUUUUGCCCUCCGCCAUGAUUGUAAGUUUCCUGAGGCUUCCCCAGCCAGGCUUCCUGUACAACCUGUGGAAUCUUGUGCCAAUUAAACCUCUUUUCCCUAUAGGUUACCUGGUCUCAGGUAUUUCUUUCUAGCAGUGCAAGAAAGGACUAAUACAGAUCCCAACUCAGCCAACAACCUGGAGCGCUUCCCUACUGACUUCCUGCCCUGUCAGUUUGCAGUUGGAGACAGCAAUCAUCACCAGACAGAGUGACUGUGUGCGUGAACAAUGAGCUGAUCUAAU